rnacentral:rRNA from 1 species
UACGUAGGGGGCUAGCGUUGUCCGGAUUUAUUGGGCGUAAAGAGCGUGUAGGCGGCCAGGUAGGUCUGCUGUGAAAUUUCGGGGCUCAACCCCGAACUUGCAGUGGGUACGGGCAGACUAGAGUGUGGUAGGGGAGACUGGAAUUCCUGGUGUAGCGGUGAAAUGCGCAGAUAUCAGGAGGAACACCGAUGGCGAAGGCAGGUCUCUGGGCCAUAACUGACGCUGAGAAGCGAAAGCAUGGGGAGCGAACAGG